rnacentral:rRNA from 1 species
AGUGAACGCUGGCGGUAGGCCUAACACAUGCGAGUCGAACGGCAGCACAGUAAGAGCUUGCUCUUACGGGUGGCGAGUGGCGGACGGGUGAGGAAUACAUCGGCAUCUACUUUUUCGUGGGGGAUAACGUAGGGAAACUUACGCUAAUACCGCAUACGACCUACGGGUGAAAGCAGGGGAUCUUCGGACCUUGCGCGAUUGAAUGAGCCGAUGUCGGAUUAGCUAGUUGGCGGGGUAAAGGCCCACCAAGGCGACGAUCCGUAGCUGGUCUGAGAGGAUGAUCCGCCACACUGGAACUGAGACACGGUCCAGACUCCUACGGGAGGCAGCAGUGGGGAAUAUUGGACAAUGGGCGCAAGCCUGAUCCAGCCAUACCGCGUGGGUGAAGAAGGCCUUCGGGUUGUAAAGCCCUGUUGUUGGGAAAGAAAAGCAGCAGGUUAAUACCCCGCUGUUCUGACGGUACCCAAAGAAUAAGCACCGGCUAACUUCGUG